CAGCAGCCACGGGAAUACAGAGACUGCGAGCGUUAUUCGGAUUCACUGGGCGUAAAGGGUGCGCAGGCGGCCAAGUGUGUGAGGCGUGAAAGCCCGGGGCUUAACCCCGGAAUUGCACCUCAAACUACAUGGCUAGAGUACUGGAGAGGGUAACGGAAUUCAUGGUGUAGCAGUGAAAUGCGUAGAUAUCGAUCGGAACACCCAUGGCGAAGGCAGCUCGCUGGCCUAACACUGACGCUGAGGCGCGAAAGCGUGGGGAGCAAACAGGAUUAGAUACCCGUGUAGUCCCUGUCUCUUAUAC
rnacentral:rRNA from 1 species